rnacentral:rRNA from 1 species
AGAGUUUGAUCCUGGCUCAGGAUGAACGCUAGCGGCAGGCCUAACACAUGCAAGUCGAGGGGCAGCGCGGGUAGCAAUACCUGGCGGCGACCGGCGCACGGGUGAGUAACGCGUAUGCAACCUGCCCGCCACAGGGGGAUAGCCCGCCGAAAGGCGGAUUAAUACCCCAUCGCCCCACGUUCCGGCAUCGGGAUGUGGGUAAAGGAGCGAUCCGGUGGCGGAUGGGCAUGCGUGCCAUUAGCUAGUUGGCGGGGUAACAGCCCACCAAGGCGACGAUGGCUAGGGGGUCUGAGAGGAUGGUCCCCCACACUGGUACUGAGACACGGACCAGACUCCUACGGGAGGCAGCAGUGAGGAAUAUUGGUCAAUGGGCGGAAGCCUGAACCAGCCAUGCCGCGUGCAGGAAGACGGCCCUACGGGUUGUAAACUGCUUUUCCGGGGGAAGAAUAAUCCCGACGUGUCGGGAGACGACGGUACCCCGGGAAUAAGGAUCGGCUAACUCCGUGCCAGCAGCCGCGGUAAUACGGAGGAUCCGAGCGUUAUCCGGAUUUACUGGGUUUAAAGGGUGCGUAGGCGGGCGCUUAAGUCAGCGGUGAAAUGCGGGGGCUCAACCUUCGAACGGCCGUUGAUACUGGGCGCCUUGGAUUCGGUCGAGGCGGGCGGAAUGCGACAUGUAGCGGUGAAAUGCUUAGAUAUGUCGCAGAACGCCGAUUGCGAAGGCAGCUCGCCGGGCCGAUAUUGACGCUGAGGCACGAAAGCGUGGGGAUCGAACAGGAUUAGAUACCCUGGUAGUCC